GACGGGGGGGGCAAGUGUUCUUCGGAACUGACUGGGGUAAAGGGCACGUAGGCGGUGAAUCGGGUUGAAAGUGAAAGUCGCCAAAAAGUGGCGGAAUGCUCUCGAAACCAAUUCACUUGAGUGAGACAGAGGAGAGUGGAAUUUCGUGUGUAGGGGUGAAAUCCGUAAAUAUACGAAGGAACGCCAAAAGCGAAGGCAGCUCUCUGGGUCCCUACCGACGCUGGGGUGCGAAAGCAUGGGGAGCGAACAGG
rnacentral:rRNA from 1 species